CACAGGGCAAAAAUGAGUGAGGCGUGUGAAUCAGAUGUCAGCAGCAGCCUCGGCGGUGAGCGGAGGAAGGAACAGGCCGGCCGCAGGGCAGUGCGUCUCCCCGGCAGAACCCCCACCACCCACCAAGGAGAAUCUCAGUUAGCCAAGAUUAAACCCAUCAAAAAAAGUGACUUCAUGCUCACAAUCAAAGGCAGACAUCACUUCAUUGAACUGUCACCUGAGCUUGCGUAUUCACCGGCACGAGAUCCUCACCGGGCCGCUAAGACCCCCUUCCUGCGCAGGCGUGGUGAUAUCCAUCCAGCGCUCUUUCAAAUACACGCUUGUUAGAGACUCGCUCUCCCUUCAUAAUUCCCC
rnacentral:lncRNA from 1 species